GAUGAACGCUAGCGACAGGCUUAACACAUGCAAGUCGAGGGGCAGCGGGGUUGUAGCUUGCUAUAACUGCCGGCGACCGGCGCACGGGUGAGUAACACGUAUGCAACCUGCCCGUUGCAGGGGGAUAAGCGGAAGAAAUUCCGUCUAAUACCGCGUAAUAUGGGGUUAAGGCAUCUUAAUCUCAUUAAAGAUUUAUCGGCAACGGAUGGGCAUGCGGCGCAUUAGCUAGUUGGCGGGGUAACGGCCCACCAAGGCGACGAUGCGUAGGGGUUCUGAGAGGAAGGUCCCCCACACUGGUACUGAGACACGGACCAGACUCCUAUGGGAGGCAGCAGUGAGGAAUAUUGGUCAAUGGGCGAGAGCCUGAACCAGCCAAGUCGCGUGAGGGAAGACGGUCCUACGGAUUGUAAACCUCUUUUGUCGGGGAGCAAGUGCUCUACGAGUAGAGUGGUGAGAGUACCCGAAGAAAAAGCAUCGGCUAACUCCGUGCCAGCCGCCGCGGUAACAC
rnacentral:rRNA from 1 species